rnacentral:lncRNA from 10 species
GGGAGGAGCCCAAGGCCGGUGACGACGGACGCCACGGGUCGAAGGGGCCGAAGAACUCGGCGGCGAAGGUGACCACGUCCUCCGGCUGGCGCAGCAGCAGGAAGAGCAGGAAGUCGGAGAUGAGCGCGUGGGCUUCGGGGUGCUGCCGCAGAUAGCUGGCGUGGCCGAGCCGGAGCUCCUCCUGGCAGGGGACAGAGCCCGAGCCUCAGCCGGACGGGACCCCCGCGCCCCAGGAGCCCCCAGCCGCUCGCUCCAAGGAGAGCUAAGGGGCGCUGGAGCCUUCUAGCCCCUACGGGUGUGCAUUUCAAUCAGGUGCCUGGAGUGCAACACAACAUGUGAGAGUGAGAAUCUUCCCAGACCGCCUGCUAUGGACUGAAUUGUCUCUCUAACCCCCAGUGUGGUGGUAUUUGGAGAAAGGCCAUGUGAGGACACAUUGAGAAGGCACUUGUCUGCAAGCUAGGAAGACAGCCCUCACCAGAAACCAACCCUGAUGGCACCAUGAUCUUGGACUUCCUGCCUUCCAGCAAAUAUAUUUCUCUUGAAGCCA